rnacentral:rRNA from 1 species
ACGAACGCUGGCGGCGUGCCUAAUCCCUGCAAGUAGCACGCUGAAGAGAGGAGCUUGCUCUUCUUGGAUGAGUUGCGAACGGGUGAGUAACGCGUAGGUAACCUGCCUGGUAGCGGGGGAUAACUAUUGGAAACGAUAGCUAAUACCGCAUAAAAUGGAUUAUCGCAUGAUAAUCCAUUGAAAGGUGCAAAUGCAUCACUACCAGAUGGACCUGCGUUGUAUUAGCUAGUUGGUGGGGUAACGGCUCACCAAGGCGACGAUACAUAGCCGACCUGAGAGGGUGAUCGGCCACACUGGGACUGAGACACGGCCCAGACUCCUACGGGAGGCAGCAGUAGGGAAUCUUCGGCAAUGGACGGAAGUCUGACCGAGCAACGCCGCGUGAGUGAAGAAGGUUUUCGGAUCGUAAAGCUCUGUUGUAAGAGAAGAACGAGUGUGAGAGUGGAAAGUUCACACUGUGACGGUAUCUUACCAGAAAGGGACGGCUAACUACGUG